GGGCAUGUGGUCUAAUUGGUAAGACGCCCCAUCUCGGUUUCACUCGCCACUACUUUCGGGUCCGCCCGACGGGGAGACGCGAGUUUGAAUCCUGCCGUGUCCA